CCUACGGGAGGCAGCAGUGGGGAAUAUAGGGCAAUGGGCGCAAGCCUGACCCAGCAACGCCGCGUGAAGGAAGAAGGCUUUCGGGUUGUAAACUUCUGUUGUCAGGGAAGAGUAGAAGACGGUACCUGACGAAUAAGCCACGGCGAACUACGUGCCAGCAGCCGCGGUAAUACGUAGGUGGCAAGCGUUGUCCGGAUUUACUGGGUGUAAAGGGCGUGUAGCCGGGUUGACAAGUCAGAUGUGAAAUCCUGCGGCUUAACCGCAGAACUGCAUGUGAAACUGUUGAUCUUGAGUACUGGAGAGGCAGAUGGAAUUCCUAGUGUAGCGGUGAAAUGCGUAGAUAUUAGGAGGAACACCAGUGGCGAAGGCGGUCUGCUGGACAGCAACUGACGGUGAGGCGCGAAAGCGUGGGGAGCAAACAGGAUUAGAUACCCUUGUAGUC
rnacentral:rRNA from 1 species